GAAGCAGCUUCUGAAGAAUGUGCAGAGGCAGUCUCAUUAUAUCUGGCAAAAGGAGCUUGGCACUUUGAAAACACACACACAAAACUGGUUUCAUUAUUGCACACUACAUUUUGUGCCCGGUAUUAACCAUGGAAGAAAACAUAUCAGAUACCAAACUCUGAGUGAUAAAUGAGGAAUUGAAGUUGCUUGAAAUUUCAAGUUGGAGCCCAUCCCUGGGAAACCAAAAAAGCAUUAGAGAUGGCUCCAACUACAAAUCUGAA